AUUGAACGCUGGCGGCAGGCCUAACACAUGCAAGUCGAGCGGGGUUUUCGGACCUAGCGGCGGACGGGUGAGUAAUGCGUAGGAAGCUACCCGAUAGAGGGGGAUACCAGUUGGAAACGACUGUUAAUACCGCAUAAUGUCUACGGACCAAAGUGUGGGACCUUCGGGCCACAUGCUAUCGGAUGCGCCUACGUGGGAUUAGCUAGUUGGUGAGGUAAUGGUUCACCAAGGCGACGAUCCCUAGCUGGUUUGAGAGGAUGAUCAGCCACACUGGAACUGGGACACGGUCCAGACUCCUACGGGAGGCAGCAGUGGGGAAUAUUGGACAAUGGGCGCAAGCCUGAUCCAGCCAUGCCGCGUGUGUGAAGAAGGCCUUCGGGUUGUAAAGCACUUUCAGUAGGGAGGAAGCGUUGUGUGUUAAUAGUACACAGCGUUGACGUUACCUACAGAAGAAGCACCGGCUAACUCUGUGCCAGCCGCCGCAGUAAUAC
rnacentral:rRNA from 1 species